ensembl:snoRNA
UGGAGCCUAUGAUGAUUAGUUAUCUCUGUCAGAAAAAUCUUGGCUGAGGGGAAAGUAUUUAUUCUGAGGCUUCG